UAGACCGAGGGAGGCAGAAGAGGGUGGGAUGGCUAAGCACCCCCGAGGGAGCGGCUCCAGAAGCGGGGGAAGAAAUAAUUCGUGUUUUGUACAAAGUCACCCGUCUUUCUUAACCGCCUAAAACGGAUGAGGGCAUGGGGAGGAGCCCACUGAGGCCCGUGGGAGCCCCAGCCUGCCCUUUGCCAGGAUUCGACUGCAGGUGGUGCUCGGGCCCCGGGCCCGGACUGGGCAGCACUCGACAGCCUGGAAAAAGAUUGGUCCGAGGUGUAUCCGUGCCCUUUCCUCUGUGGUCUCCUACACCUGGAAACCAGAGCUGACACCCCCAUCCCCAACCCUCAUGCCUCUCCUUGACUCCCUCUGCCAGCCUGCAGGGCACACUCUCCCUCAGCCAAUCCCCCUUGCAGAUCCAGCUCUCCUCCCCCGAAUGAAGUCUCUGUAAGACCAGUUUCUGGAAAAGCCUUUCAGAAAUAUCCCCUGCACCGGUUUUCUUGCUCAAAAUGUCCUGAGUGAGUUUCUAUUGCCUGGGUUGAGCUUAAAGAACUUGGGUGUUACCCGGAGACAGCUUGCCUACCCAAUAGGACCAGAUGCCUGUUGACCGAGGAGGUCAAAAUGAGUUGUGGUUAACUUGAUCUAACCAAAGUAUAGUCCGAACGGUAUAAACUGACGGUGGGGAGAGGAACCGGUUACUUAGGAAAUCUGAGGUGUUUGGGGUCGACCCACCCACAGCAAGCCAUCAUCUGUAACCUCUCACCUGCUUCCUUAAUUUCUGGCCACCUCCCUCUUCACAAUUCCUGGGUUCCUACAGCCCCUUGAAACACUCUCACAGUGUUUCGCCUACAGAAGUUUGGACCAUCGGCCUGAGGCUGGACUCCCGCAUUGAGGUUUGCCAUGCACUGUCCAGAGCAACCUGCGCGUUCCCACUGAGGUCUGAGGCCCCUCGGAACGGAAUCCCAGUUUCCACCGCCUUUCUCCCCUCUUUCACUCAAUUUCAGAUCCUGACCGGUACGCUUCCUGCUAAGACAUGGAUGUUUUGGCAGGUGGUGUUAAGUGCUGAGUUUUACAGCCUGAAUGGUGCUCCAUCAUGGAGUCAGUUGGGACCUGCGAAGUUCGGGGACCCUGUUACAUUUACAAGGACCAUACCUCUACAUCUGUGAAGAAUUGAGAGCAUGGCCGGGAGAAAGGCAGCACGAAACUGAGUGUGACCAUUCACCCACAACUCAAGGCCCAACACACUCCAGGUUGUAGACCAGUCUUCUGAAGGAAUGUUUGAAGUCGCCUCCAUUCUUAAAACCUCACAACGCGGCUGAUGGGGAAGGGCAGAGUUAAAAUUGGACCUCGUAGCAAAUAAUUAUAAAACAGACUGAAAUAGUUUUUAAAAAAUGACUAACAACAA